UUUAAGCUUCCUACGGGAGGCUGCAGUGGGGAAUCUUGCGCAAUGGGCGAAAGCCUGACGCAGCCAUGCCGCGUGAAUGAUGAAGGUCUUAGGAUUGUAAAAUUCUUUCACCGGGGACGAUAAUGACGGUACCCGGAGAAGAAGCCCCGGCUAACUUCGUGCCAGCAGCCGCGGUAAUACGAAGGGGGCUAGCGUUGCUCGGAAUUACUGGGCGUAAAGGGAGCGUAGGCGGACAUUUAAGUCAGGGGUGAAAUCCCGGGGCUCAACCUCGGAAUUGCCUUUGAUACUGGGUGUCUUGAGUAUGAGAGAGGUGUGUGGAACUCCGAGUGUAGAGGUGAAAUUCGUAGAUAUUCGGAAGAACACCAGUGGCGAAGGCGACACACUGGCUCAUUACUGACGCUGAGGCUUAGUACGUGGGGAGCAAACAGGAUUAGAUACCCUUGUAGUCGAAUUCU
rnacentral:rRNA from 1 species